rnacentral:rRNA from 1 species
GACGAACGCUGGCGGCGUGCUUAACACAUGCAAGUCGAACGGGAAGGCCCUGCUUUUGUGGGGUGCUCGAGUGGCGAACGGGUGAGUAACACGUGAGUAACCUGCCCUUGACUUUGGGAUAACUUCAGGAAACUGGGGCUAAUACCGGAUAGGAGCUCCUGCUGCAUGGUGGGGGUUGGAAAGUUUCGGCGGUUGGGGAUGGACUCGCGGCUUAUCAGCUUGUUGGUGGGGUAGUGGCUUACCAAGGCUUUGACGGGUAGCCGGCCUGAGAGGGUGACCGGCCACAUUGGGACUGAGAUACGGCCCAGACUCCUACGGGAGGCAGCAGUGGGGAAUAUUGCACAAUGGGCGGAAGCCUGAUGCAGCAACGCCGCGUGCGGGAUGACGGCCUUCGGGUUGUAAACCGCUUUCGCCUGUGACGAAGCGUGAGUGACGGUAAUGGGUAGAGAAGCACCGGCUAACUACGUG